rnacentral:rRNA from 1 species
UUGCCUACGGGACGCAGCAGUGAGGAAUAUUGGUCAAUGGGCGGAAGCCUGAACCAGCCAAGUCGCGUGAGGGAUUAAGGCCCUGCGGGUCGUAAACCUCUUUUGCCGGGGAGCAGAGGUCCGGACGUGUCCGGGCCGGGAGAGUACCCGGAGAAAAAGCAUCGGCUAACUCCGUGCCAGCAGCCGCGGUAAUACGUAGGGGGCAAGCGUUGUCCGGAUUUACUGGGUGUAAAGGGAGCGUAGACGGCAGGGCAAGUCUGGAGUGAAAGCCCGGGGCCCAACCCCGGGACUGCUUUGGAAACUGC